AUCACAAAUCUGGAUGGGAAUUUACAAUCUGUUUUGCUGGUAGACAAGCUUUACUCCAGUUGACCAGCCCAUGAAAAAAAAGGAUAUCCAAUUAGACACAGAUGGAGGAAAACAAAAAGUCACUCUCAGCAGGUACUGAAAGAAGUAUGAUACAUACAUUCUCCCUGGAUGAUGGAUUUUCCCAUUUCUCUUUCUGAAGCUGAGAAACAGGGAAAGCCCAGGAUGGCUGCCAACGGGAAGAGAUUUGCCAACUCUGUAAAGACACUAUUGACAGAGGAAACAGUGGUUUCAAAGCUCCAAGCAGAAACCUCCAAGGACAGAUGUUUCAGCCUGCAGGGAUGGGUUCAAGCUGCGCCUCCUUGCGGCCCGUGGGUGUGCACGCCGAGGAGAGAACAGGGCAGCGACGGACUGUUGGCGACGGCUGUGACUCUCCGUAGUCGCUCUGUAAAAACGAACUAGGUUUUGAUAUCACAGGGAAAGUCCAAUCUACAGCUGAUAAUGGGUCUCUGUGAAGCUGUCUGACAUUCUUGAACAUUCUUGAACAGCAUAUGCUUUGGUUUGAGCAGAGUCCCAAUUAACUCCAGCUUCCACCACCUACUAGAUGUGUGGUCUUGGGCAAUAAACUCGAAUUUUGUGAGCCUCGGUUUCCUUAUCCAGAAUAUGAUCAGCAUAAUGUGCAUUUUACUAUGUUGUUACGGGGAUUAAUUUUUAAGACUUAUAAAUCACAUAAUACCAUGCUUGCCAUGUGGUGAGGGCUCAAAAUUAAUGGCAGCCCCUACGACCUUGUUUUACACUUCUCUGUGCUCAGUAGUAGUUUUGGGAUAUUUAUUUUCUUUAGGCCACUUAAAUUCAAAAUAACAUUAUUCCUAUUUUAAAUGCACAAAAUAAUCAUUAUAAACUGUGGAAUUUUUGUAAAGUUCAUUUUAAUGAACCAAUUUUAUGCAUAUAAAAAGUCUCUUUUUUCUUAAAUUUCUGACAAGCAAAAUCAAAUGUUUGCCACAUGUUUUCCCAUCUGCUAAGAGCUACAGAUGUUCUGGCAUAUGGUACAAUGGCACCCACAGACAUGCCACAGUCCAAGGGCUUUAAAAACCUAAUGCAUAGAAUCAGAACUCACUGUUCUUGGUGGCUCGAAAAGGUCCCUAAACCUACAUCCCUCAGGCUUGGCACAGUCUACUGAGGGUACCAUUAGGCACCCCCAAAGUUCAGUGCUGCCAGUACUGGAGGCCUGAAAUACAGACACUAUGUUCCACAGACUCUCCAGGAGAUCAGAUCUGUUCCAGGGUUCAUGUGGUAGAACAGGUUACAAAGAAAGAGAAACUGAAUUAAGUGGCACCUGGACAUUUGUGUUUAAAUAGUAUAAGAUGUAAAACAAACAAGGGUCAAGA